rnacentral:lncRNA from 1 species
AGAAAAAAUAAAAUAAAGAAAGAGUUAUCUCGUAAACUUAAUUCAGUUGGUAGGGAUAUCGUAAUAUAUAUAUAUACAGGAACUGAAGUUUGAACUUUAUUUAGACUUCACUUAUUCACUUUAAAGAUGAAAUUCCAGCCACAAUUUAAUUACUAUUUGACAAAAAAGAAAGAAAAGAAAGAGCUAACAUAGACUUCACUUAUUCACUUUAAAGAUGAAAUUCCA